rnacentral:tRNA from 1 species
GCCUGGGUGGCUCAGUGGGUUGAGUGUCUGACUUCAGCUCAGGUCAUGAUCUCACGGUCCGUGAGUUCGAGCCCCGCGUCGGGCU